rnacentral:rRNA from 1 species
GACGAACGCUGGCGGCGUGCUUAACACAUGCAAGUCGAACGGAAAGGCCUGCUUUCCCUUGUGGAUUGCGGGUGCUCGCGUGGCGAACGGGUGAGUAACACGUGAGUGAUCUGCCCCCAACUUGGGUAUAAGCCUGGGAAACUGGGUCUAAUUCCCGAUAGGACUGCAGGGUGGUGCCUGUGGUGGAAAACGAUUUUCUAGUGGUUGGGGAUGAGCUCGCGGCCUAUCAGCUUGUUGGUGGGGUAAUGGCCUACCAAGGCGGCGACGGGUAGCCGGCCUGAGAGGGUGGACGGCCACAUUGGGACUGAGAUACGGCCCAGACUCCUACGGGAGGCAGCAGUGGGGAAUAUUGCACAAUGGGCGGAAGCCUGAUGCAGCGACGCCGCGUGGGGGAUGACGGCCUUCGGGUUGUAAACUCCUUUCGACCGCGAGGAAGCCACCUGGUUGGAAGGGUGGUGACGGUAGUGGUAGAAGAAGCACCGGCUAACUACGUG